rnacentral:tRNA from 1 species
GCCCGGCUAGCUCAAUCGUUAGAGCGUGAGACUCUUAAUCUCAAGGUUGUGGGUUCGACCCCCACGUCGGGCU